rnacentral:rRNA from 1 species
GAUGAACGCUGGCGGCGUGCCUAAUACAUGCAAGUCGAGCGAACGGACGAGAAUCUUGCUUCUCUGAUGUUAGCGGCGGACGGGUGAGUAACACGUGUAUAACCUACCUAUAAGACUGGGAUAACUUCGUGAAACCUUAUCUAAUACCGGAUAAUAUUUUGAACCGCAUGGUUCAUAAGUGAAAGCCGUUUUUGCUGUCACUUAUACAUGUAUCCUCGCUGCAUUAGCUAGUUGGUAAGGUAACGGCUUACCAAGGCAACGAUGCAUAGCUGACCUGAGAGGGUGAUCGGCCACACUGGAACUGAGACACGGUCCAGACUCCUACGGGAGGCAGCAGUAGGGAAUCUUCGGCAAAGGGCGAAAGCCUGACGGAGCAACGCCGCGUGAGUGAUGAAGGUCUUCGGAUCGUAAAACUCUGUUAUUAGGGAAGAACAGAUGUGUAAGUAACUGUGCACAUCUUGACGGUACCUAAUCAGAAAGCAACGGCUAACUACGUG